AUUGAACGCUGGCGGCAUGCUUUACACAUGCAAGUCGUACGGUAACAGGCCGCAAGGUGCUGACGAGUGGCGAACGGGUGAGUAAUGCAUCGGAACGUGCCCAGUCGGGGGGGAUAACGCAGCGAAAGCUGUGCUAAUACCGCAUACGAUCUAUGGAUGAAAGCGGGGGACCGUAAGGCCUCGGGCGCUUGGAACGGCCGAUGGCAGAUUAGGUAGUUGGUGGGGUCAAGGCCUACCAAGCCGACGAUCCGUAGCUGGUCUGAGAGGACGACCAGCCACACUGGGACUGAGACACGGCCCAGACUCCUACGGGAGGCAGCAGUGGGGAAUUUUGGACAAUGGGCGCAAGCCUGAUCCAGCAAUGCCGCGUGCAGGAAGAAGGCCUUCGGGUUGUAAACUGCUUUUGUACGGAACGAAACGGUCUGGGUUAGUACCCUGGGCUAAUGACGGUACCGUAAGAAUAAGCACCGGCUAACUACGUGCCAGCAGCCGCCGUAAUAC
rnacentral:rRNA from 1 species